rnacentral:rRNA from 1 species
UACGUAGGGUGCAAGCGUUAAUCGGAAUUACUGGGCGUAAAGGGUGCGCAGGUGGUUUAUCAAGCCAGAUGUGAAAUCCCCGGGCUUAACCUGGGAAUGGCAUUUGGGACUGAUAGACUAGAGUACGGCAGAGGGGGGUAGAAUUCCACGUGUAGCAGUGAAAUGCGUAGAGAUGUGGAGGAAUACCGAUGGCGAAGGCAGCCCCCUGGGUUGAUACUGACACUCAAGCACGAAAGCGUGGGUAGCAAACAG